rnacentral:rRNA from 1 species
UACGUAGGGCGCGAGCGUUGUCCGGAAUUAUUGGGCGUAAAGAGCUCGUAGGCGGCCUGUUGCGUCCGCUGUGAAAUCCCAGGGCUCAACCCCCAGCCUGCAGUGGGUACGGGCAGACUAGAGUGCGGUAGGGGAGAUUGGAAUUCCUGGUGUAGCGGUGGAAUGCGCGAUAUCAGGAGGAACACCGAUGGCGGAGGCAGAUCUCUGGGCCGUAACUGACGCUGAGGAGCGAAAGCAUGGGGAGCGAACAGG